UACGGGGGGGGCAAGCGUUGUUCGGAAUUACUGGGCGUAAAGGGCUCGUAGGCGGCCAACUAAGUCAGACGUGAAAUCCCUCGGCUUAACCGGGGAACUGCGUCUGAUACUGGAUGGCUUGAGUUCGGGAGAGGGAUGCGGAAUUCCAGGUGUAGCGGUGAAAUGCGUAGAUAUCUGGAGGAACACCCGUGGCGAAGGCGGCUUCCUGGGGCCAUCCUGACACUGAGAAGCGAAAGCUAGGGGAGCGAACGGG
rnacentral:rRNA from 1 species